GAGCACCUCCAUGGUGGUGUACACUAAUCAGUUUUCUCACAGCACCUAGGGAGGCUGGUGGUGAAUGUAUUCCUCACAAUGAAAGUGUCACGGGUUGUUUGCGUGUGUUUCUGGGACUGUGCUGCACUGCAGAAGAGGAGGAGGUAGGUUCCCCAGUGCAGGCAAGAGACCCUCAGAGAAUGGUGGCACCUGCUGCAUUCCCAAAGCCCUGCCAGGCAAGCAUCGAGGGUUGGGCGGCAGGAUUCAAGGGGCUUGAUGUGGUGGGGUGAGCACAGUGGGUGCUUUCAGUAAUGGUUAAAGCAACAGCUCUGUAGGACAAGGGGUGCCCCUCUUGGGGAUGUCUUUCUGAUAAAGCUCCUGGUUUUAUCCCAAUUACUCUGGACAGUGGCAUUUGAUACCAUAGGAAAACUCAUGAGAUUUUCUGACCAGAUUUUCUGGUUUGCUCUUUGAACAGCUGGUGAUGGCUGAAACACUCAUUCAGGCAGCUGAUGCUGGGAGAACAUGGCUUUCAUUGAAGAACAGUGAGGAGGCACCAGUCUGCCCCUGGCAACGGUCUGAGCUUUGUGCCAUAGUGGUACUUUUGGCCACUGGUUCUUCCAGUGGGUGCGAGCAAGUUCAGCCGUCUUGUGGCAAGAUCCUGGGUGUCAUAGGGAUCACUGUGGGUGCAGCAUAAAUAGCACCUUGUAAUGGAUCUGAAUACCUCUUGACCACGUCUUAUGCACUUGCACAUCCAUGCCCACCCUGCCAAUGCUGAGCAGCCUUAAGCAGGAACCACAUAAAAUUACAGCUCUGCCAAAAAAAUUUCUACCCUUCUGGUGGAAAAAAUGAUGGUUGGCCUGCAGGCCACAGCUCUGACAUGCUGUCGCCUUGCAGCUCAGAGCCAGCAGUGUGACUCGCUUGAAGUGGAGGUGAAGCCUGCCUUUCCAUGAGGAACAAGCCCAGAAGGCUUCAAAACAUCUGCUCUGAAAUUUGUGACCUUUCCCCAAAUAUGAGAGGUGCCAGUUCAUUAGCUUUUCUCCUUCCGAGCUGGUGGGUCAGAGUAGGAUGCAAAAGGUAGAUGAGAAACAGCACAAGCUGCCUUUUGCUUGGUUUUUUAUAUCUCCAGUUGAAACAUUCUGUUCCUUUCAGAUCUAUGCCCGGGGUUGGGGGCUUUGUUGCAGAGCAUGAUACAACAGGUGAGGUCUGGGGCUGCUUCCCAGCUGGGCAUAUCUUAAGAGCAAUGAGAAGCUGGUUUCUCCAAGAGGAUGGUUCGGAGGUGUUGCCCAUCUUCCCAAGCUGUGCACCUUCCUGCUCUCCUCCUCCCCAGUGCAGCCUUUUCACCAUUUCCAGGUUAUUUUAUAUGAAACUAUUCUGGCAGAGAAUUUCAGGGACACAGGACUGGGUCAGGUCUGUUCUCUGGAGUGGCAGCAGUGCUGUGCCUGUGGGAAUGCCAUGGUACCUCUUGGAAAUCAACCGGGAACAAUCCAGAACCACCCACUGACUGGAGCCGGCCUAUGCCGGGGCUGCCUUCCCCUGCCCUGCAGUUGCUGCCCCUCCUGCCAGCACUCCCUGCCCACAGCACCCCUGUUGCGGGCAGGGUGCUCGCUCCUCCAUGGUACUUUGCGGAUCACCUCCCGGGUUCCCUAGUUGGUCCCUCCGGUUUGUGUUGGCGUAGCUGCUUGCUUGGCUUUUCCUUUGCUUUCUUUAUUUUUGGGUUUUGUUUCUCCUCCCCUUUCACCCCUUCCCCCAGCCCCAAGUGUUGUGGGGUUUUUUUCUCCUUUUUUUUUUAUUUUUUUUUUCUGCCCAGAAAAACCUGACUUCGAUACCAAAAAAACAAAACAAAAAAACAAAAACAAACAAAAAAACUAACAAAAAACCUGCAGAAACAAAAAAAAAAGAAAAAAAAAAGCCACAAAAAAAAACUCGACAAUUCUUUCAGCUUUAUUAACAUUUUCCAUUGUUUCUUGCGAUUUGUGUCUCGUUCUUUGUAGUAUUGAUGAUAACGAACAUUUGAUAAUGAAUGUUCUUGUAUAUUCAGAUAAAGGAGAAAAAAAAAACCAAAAACGCAGUCGGAAUUUAAUAGUGUUUAUAAUAAAAGAAUAAAAAAUGACCCUCUUAGCACGCAAAAUUGAACAGGGGGAAGGUCCCAUCCCUGUUCUUUCUGUGGCAACAAGCGCUUCAUUCCUGUAUAGUUUAUAACAUCGAACUACCUACAUUCAUCUUUUUUUUGUUUGUUUGUUUUUCCCAUUAUUUUUUCCCAUUUUCUCGCAUUUGUGAAUUAGUUCAAGAAUGCUAGAAAAGUGUAGAGUUGUGCACACUCAUUUCUUCUUACACAAUGUUUAAAAAGUGACAGUAAUUCAUUUUGUAAAACUUUAAAAAGAAAAAAAAUGGUUGGAAUAGUGAGCAUUAAUAGGUACAGUCUAACACUUUAUGUUUCUUAACGUUGAGACCCAGAAAUUACCUUUUAUUUUUUUGGCAUUAUUUGAGGGGGGGGGGGGGCUUUGAUGAUGAUGCUGAGUUUAUUUUGACCUGCCUGAGACAUCAGCCUUGCUGCUUCCCCUGCGCUUUUGAGCUGUGCCCCAAGUGAUGUGAAAAGUGAUGGUGGUGUUUGGGGGGGGAAUUGUCUCUCCUCCAGGGGGCCCCCACUCCUUUUGAUACACAACCCAGAAGAUCCUUAGGUAGCUCCUUUGGGGCUGAGUUGGGGAGUUACAUAUCCAGAGAAGCAUGUAGUCCCGUGGGGUUUUGGCGAAUACAUGCUGAGGGGUAACGGGGAGUCAGGUGCUGAGCUGCUUGGAAGUGAUGAAAGGGCAUGAAUCCUCCCCCGAAUGUGUAGACAGUGGGCUUCAAUGCUUUUAUGCUCUGCCCUGAAUCCCAGUGGCACCCAAGGGUUUGCUGCAAGAGCCCUGGAUUGGAGGCACCCAUCAGCCCAGACACAGCUCUUGGCUGAAAAAUUAAUUUGGAGCAAGGAAGGUACCAACCUCAUUUCAGUCAUGGACCUUGUUGAGGAUGGGGUCUCACAGCCUAGCCCCAAGCCCCAGCGGCACAGGGUUGCUGGGAAAGAUAAGGGACAAGGGACGGGACGUGGCAGCCUCCCAGCCAUAGUGGGACACAGCCAAACUGCCCCCCAAAUAUAGCCUGAAAUCUCAGUGGCUGCAGAGUGGGGUUCAAGGAGAAGUGCUAAGGAAGAUGUUGGUGGGCACCACUUUAGUUGUCUCUUAAAAACAGGUUCCCUGUGCCCCCUCCCCCCAAAAAACAGCUUUUUACAUCACUGAACGGUUUAGGGUUUGAGGUAUUAUUUUUAAUCCCAAGGUUUCCUGGAGUCCUUUUUUUUCAUACACCUUUAUUAUUAUUAUUAUUAUUAAGACUAUGUAAAUCAGACGUUGCCUGGGGGUUGGUUCUGUCGGUUUGCUUUUUUUGUUCUUGCAAAGCCCUUUCUAUCCCUUGUAAAGAUGAUCCAAUUGUUCUGAGUUGCUUUUUCUUUUCUAUUUUUUCCCCCAUCUUUUUUUUUUCUCUUCCUAAUGGAUUCCAAAUAUUAUUAAAAAAAAAAAAAAAGAAAAAGAAAAACCUUAAAAAAAAAAAAACA